rnacentral:rRNA from 1 species
GAUGAACGCUAGCGGCAGGCUUAAUACAUGCAAGGCGAAGGGGCAGCAAUGUCACUGUCGUACGGGUGCGUAACGCGUAUGCAACCUACCUAUCACUGGGGGAUAGCCCGGGGAAACCCGGAUUAAUACCGCAUAAAACAGGGGCACCGCAUGGUGAUAUUUGUUAAAGAUUUAUUGGUGAUAGAUGGGCAUGCGUUCGAUUAGCUAGUUGGCGGGGUAACGGCCCACCAAGGCGACGAUCGAUAGGGGAGCUGAGAGGUUGAUCCCCCACACGGGCACUGAGGUACGGGCCCGACUCCUACGGGAGGCAGCAGUAGGGAAUAUUGGGCAAUGGAUGCAAGUCUGACCCAGCCAUGCCGCGUGCCGGAUGAAGGCCCUCAGGGUUGUAAACGGCUUUUAUUCGGGAAGAAGAGCAGGGAUGCGUCCUUGUGUGACGGUACCGAAUGAAUAAGCACCGGCUAACUCCGUGCCAGCCGCCGCGGUAAGAC